GUAGUUUUCCUGUGCGAUCUGUCACAUUUCUAGUCUUUCUGGUCUCUGUCAUUUCAUUACUGAUCUGGGGCAGUGAAUGGAAAGAUCGAUACUGCCCUUGCAACUCUAGGAAUUCAAAGCAAUGUGAGAACCAAGGAAAAUCAUGCGAAGUUGACCCUGUGGAAGAUGCUGAUGUUCAUGAGGAAAUAACAUCAAAGUUAUGAACAUCUUGGGAUUUUUAUUUCCAAUCUGUCAAGUUUUUUCUCUCCAAAGUGCCAUCUCGUCCAGCAAUUCACUCAUGCAUAGGCAAAUCUAACAUGUUGCUGAAGGCCCUCAGCUGCCCCACCAUUUCACAAAACAAAUGUUCUUCUCACCAUAGCAUCAGCUGUAGGUACUAUGCCCAGUGAUGAGCAUUAGCUAACUGCUGUGAUAUAUCCCUACCACUGAGCCACGAGGUUGGAUUCAAGUCCCACGUUUUCCAGAAGUGUAUAAUGCCAAUUCUAACAGGUUGUUUAGAGAAUAUCUCGUCUCACCCUGUUGAUUUAGUUGAUAUUACUUGCCACAUUUUUGACAUCAAUUUAUUAAAUUGUGUUUGAGAGAGACAAUAGAUGUAAGGAACCUAAAACCAGUAUGACAUUCACCCUGAAAAGUUUCACCACAAAA